AGAAUCAACGCUGGCGGCGUGCCUAACACAUGCAAGUCGCACGAGAAAGGGGAGCAAUCCCUGAGUAAAGUGGCGCACGGGUGAGUAACACGUGAAUAAUCUACCUCCGAGUGGGGAAUAACUGAGAGAAAUCUUAGCUAAUACCGCAUAAUACCCACGGGUCAAAGCAGCAAUGCGCUUGGAGAGGAGUUCGCGGCCGAUUAGCUAGUUGGCGGGGUAAUGGCCCACCAAGGCGAUGAUCGGUA
rnacentral:rRNA from 1 species